GGACAUCGAGGUUCUCCGGGAGCGGGCUCACUGAAGCUGGUUCUCCUUUUGAAGGGACCUGUGGAGGGCCGUGAACCUUCAGCCAGAUGCAAAUUCAAUUAUCAACGAUGAAGCUCCCGCCGUGGUGUUUGUUAAUAAGUUCCUGUAAGCAUAUCAUUUAGUCGCUAUGCAUGACACUAGCUGAAGCGCUAUCUAAGCUCUAUUGGUAUGAGGUUUGGUUGCCGUGUUGCCGAGCCUGUAAACGAAGCAAGAUUUGCAAACUUGUUAUAUUGUGGUAUUGAUGAUACUGGAUUACUGGCUGUGGGUUGUUCGGGAAUGUCUCUGCCUCUCUGGUCUGGUGUCUGGACGUGGUUG
rnacentral:lncRNA from 1 species